UUUGAAGGGGAGCCGAAAGGCUGAGAGGAAGGAAACAGCAUUUCUGUUGUGAGACUUCGACCCGUUAACCUGAUUUGGAUAAUGCCAACGUAGGGAGGAAAAGAUAU
rnacentral:ncRNA from 1 species